rnacentral:tRNA from 2 species
GCACGAGUAGCUCAGCGGUAGAGCAACCGGUUUACACCCGGUCGGUCGGCGGUUCGAUCCCGUCCUCGUGCACCA